AAAACCGGAAAAAUGCAUUUUCCCGCCAAAACCGGAAAACACAAUUUUCCCGUCAAAACCGGAAAACGCAUUUUCCCGCCAAAACUUUUCCCGCCAGAACCGGAAAACAGAAUUUUUUCGCCAAAACCGGAAAACGCAUUUUCCCGCCAAAACUGGAAAACGCAUUUUCUCGCCAAAAUCGGAAAACCACAUUUUUCCCGCCAAAAUUGGAAAAAUGUAUUUUCCCACCCAAAACCGGAAAAAUGUAUUUUCCCAUCGAAACCGCAAAAAUGCUUUUCCCGCCAAAAUUAUGAAAAAAAAUUUCCCGCCAAAAUCGCGAAAAAAACUUUUCCC
rnacentral:lncRNA from 1 species